GACGAACGCUGGCGGCGUGCUUAACACAUGCAAGUCGAGCGGAAAGGCCCUUCGGGGUACCCGAGCGGCGAACGGGUGAGUAACACGUGAGUAAUCUGCCCUUGGCUUUGGGAUAACUACCGGAAACGGUGGCUAAUACCGGAUACGACAACCGUCUGCAUGGGCUGGUUGUGGAAAGUUUUUUCGGCCAGGGAUGUGCUCGCGGCCUAUCAGCUUGUUGGUGGGGUAAUGGCCUACCAAGGCUUCGACGGGUAGCCGGCCUGAGAGGGUGACCGGCCACACUGGGACUGAGACACGGCACAGACUCCUACGGGAGGCAGCAGUGGGGAAUAUUGGACAAUGGGCGGAAGCCUGAUCCAGCAACGCCGCGUGAGGGAUGACGGCCUUCGGGUUGUAAACCUCUUUCAGUACCGACGAAGCGCCGAUGAUGGUGGUGACGGUAGGUACAGAAGAAGCACCGGCCAACUACGUG
rnacentral:rRNA from 1 species